rnacentral:rRNA from 1 species
UACGUAGGGCGCAAGCGUUUUUUUAUCCGGAAUUAUUGGGCGUAAAGAGCUCGUAGGCGGUUUGUCACGUCUGCUGUGAAAAACUGGGAGGCUCAACCUCCAGCCUGCAGUGGGUACGGGCAGACUAGAGUGCGGUAGGGGGAGAUUGGGAAUUCCUGGUGUAGCGGUGGAAUGCGCAGAUAUCAGGAGGAACACCGAUGGCGAAGGCAGAUCUCUGGGCCGUAACUGACGCUGAGGAGCGAAAGCAUGGGGGAGCGAAACAGG